rnacentral:rRNA from 1 species
UACGUAGGGGGCUAGCGUUGCUCGGAAUCACUGGGCGUAAAGCGCACGUAGGCGGCUUUUUAAGUCAGGGGUGAAAUCCUGGAGCUCAACUCCAGAACUGCCCUUGAUACUGAGAAGCUUGAGUCCGGGAGAGGUGAGUGGAACUGCGAGUGUAGAGGUGAAAUUCGUAGAUAUUCGCAAGAACACCAGUGGCGAAGGCGGCUCACUGGCCCGGUACUGACGCUGAGGCACGAAAGCGUGGGGAGCAAACAGG